UUGAGAAAAAUCAGUGACUAGAAAAUAGU
rnacentral:piRNA from 1 species